rnacentral:rRNA from 1 species
CGUCCCAUCAGCUAGUUGGUAAGGUAAAGGCCUACCAAGGCGAUGACGGGUAGGGGACCUGAGAGGGUGGCCCCCCACAAUGGAACUGAAACACGGUCCAGACUCCUACGGGAGGCAGCAGUGAGGAAUAUUGCGCAAUGGGGGCAACCCUGACGCAGCAACGCCGCGUGAGUGAGGAAGGUUUUCGGAUUGUAAAGCUCUGUCGAGCGGAAAGAAGUGCAUGGUGGUUAAUAUCCAUCAUGCUUGACGGUACCGCUAAAGGAAGCACCGGCUAACUCCGUGCCAGCAGCCGCGGUAAUACGGGGGGUGCAAGCGUUGUUCGGAAUCAUUGGGCGUAAAGCGCGUGUAGGCGGCUGGACAAGUCAGAUGUGAAAGCCCUGGGCUUAACCCAGGAAGUGCAUUUGAAACUGUUCAGCUAGAGUAAGGGAGAGGAAAGUGGAAUUCCUGGUGUAGAGGUGAAAUUCGUAGAUAUCAGGAGGAACACCGGUGGCGAAGGCGACUUUCUGGCCCUAUACUGACGCUGAGACGCGAAAGCGUGGGUAGCAAACAGGAUUAGAUACCCUGGUAGUCCACGCUGUAAACGAUGUUCACUAGGUGUUGGGGGUAUUGACCCUUCCAGUGCCGCAGCUAACGCAUUAAGUGAACCGCCUGGGGAGUACGGUCGCAAGAUUAAAACUCAAAGGAAUUGACGG